AUCUGACGGACUAAGUUAAUUUGAUGCUACAAGGCUAUCUCUCUGUGUGUGUGUGCGUGUGUGUGUGUGUGUGUCAGUGUGUCUUUGUGUCAGUUUGAAAUUGCUGCAAAUGUACUGUGCCCACAGCUCACUGGCUCUGCUUCGGUGACAUCACUGAAGGUGAGACUGCUCCCCCCCCCCCCACUGUUACUGUAUCAACUGAGUGGAGGUGACAGUGAAAUCAAAGCUGUCCUUUGGGAUUUUUCAUCAAAGUUUCACAUCUGACCCGGACCCUCACUUACUUCGAGUCCUUUUGCAAUGGCUGAACAAGCUGAGAGGAGAAAAGCUGACCGGCGCUUCACUGCUUGGUUUGGCACAGACCGCAGGAGAACCUACCUGUCCACCUGGCGAGAAACAGCACGCCGGAACAAAUAGCCUCAGAGGUUCAAAAGACGGAGUCCAGCAAGCACUGGAUGCUUAGAGCUAGGACGUGGGACCACAGCCACAUUUGUGCCCUCCAUUUGUGCAGAACCUCGCAGGAGAACUUCUGAACCGUGGCUUCUUCGUGACAGACCUGCCCCUAGGAGCCCGGAGCCGGAGGUUUGGCCUGUCUUCAUGAAAAAUCCACGCUACCUGAAAGAAGGCCGCCUUCUGAAUCCAACGAUACCAGUUAUGUGCACAUCGGACCUACGCUUCAAAAGAUACGGACAGCUCACUGGCUCUGCUUCGGUGACAUCACUGAAGGUGAGACUGCUCCCCCCCCACUGUUACUGUAUCAACUGAGUGGAGGUGACAGUGAAAUCAAAGCUGUCCUUUGGGAUUUUUCAUCAAAGUUUCACAUCUGACCCGGACCCUCACUUACUUCGAGUCCUUUUGCAAUGGCUGAACAAGCUGAGAGGAGAAAAGCUGACCGGCGCUUCACUGCUUGGUUUGGCACAGACCGCAGGAGAACCUACCUGUCCACCUGGCGAGAAACAGCACGCCGGAACAAAUAGCCUCAGAGGUUCAAAAGACGGAGUCCAGCAAGCACUGGAUGCUUAGAGCUAGGACGUGGGACCACAGCCACAUUUGUGCCCUCCAUUUGUGCAGAACCUCGCAGGAGAACUUCUGAACCGUGGCUUCUUCGUGACAGACCUGCCCCUAGGAGCCCGGAGCCGGAGGUUUGGCCUGUCUUCAUGAAAAAUCCACGCUACCUGAAAGAAGGCCGCCUUCUGAAUCCAACGAUACCAGUUAUGUGCACAUCGGACCUACGCUUCAAAAGAUACGGACAG